rnacentral:lncRNA from 1 species
GAAAUGGCACAUGUACGUUUGGUUGUUCCGCGUGUGCUUCCGUUAUAUGCUGCUUAUUGUUAAACACUGCCCUUUUGUACUCUGGUGUGUGGGAUUGUCUGGACCUUUGCCAGAAAUGGUAAAGGGUAUGCGCUUAUUUGCCCGCUAUGUGGGGUCCCACUAUGUGGGAUAUUCUGGACCUUUGCCAGAAAUGGUAAAGGGUAUGUGCUUAGAGCCUGCGAUGCUCUGCCGGCCCCCUUUGACUUCACCUAGACGUGGGUGGAUGGAGCUCCCAGACGUGGGAGACUUUUGUCAGGUGGUCAUUCAGAAAUGGAUGAAUCACAUUCUGACUGAGAUCCCACUACACCUUCUAUAUGUUUGAUAUGACAUCCAGAGUUUUGGUGAGUUGUUUCUGUUCAUGCUCUGGAUAAGAAUGAUAUGAUUGCAACGUCAAGGACGACGUUUGAACUUCUGUACGGUAUUUGUGUUUGAUAUGCUCUGAAAUGCUUCAUUCACUAUUGAUUUUGCUUCGAAAUUUUUCAUAUGCCGUUGAUAUGCUUCGGAACAUUUCAUAUGUCAUUGAUAAGCUCCGAUAUGUUUCCUUGUUACUGAUAUGCUCCAAUUACUCUAUGCCCCAUCUGUCAGGAACCAAAUAUGUACGAUUGAAAGGACAAUUGUGAUUAUGCUCCUAAUGAUAUUAUGUCUACGAAAUCGUAUAUUCUGCUUUGUGUUUUGAAACUGUAUCUCUUUGGAAAUUGUACUAUUUUGAUAUGGAUAUGUUAGUCACUUGCUGAGCUCUUUAUGCUCACCCCGUUUGUUGAUAAAUUUUUCAGGAUAGCGUAUCGCUUGCUUAAAUGUUAAGAUUGGGCUGAGGCAGUGGAAAGUUUAGAAGAUUUUGGGCAGAUCUUUGUUAGCAUAUGUAUAUUUGUUGUAUGAGAUACUCUGCAUCUUAUGAAAUGUGACGAUGAAUCUAAACCUAUGGAUUUUGUGUAAGAUAAAGGAUCCCUCGUGUAUAGGAUUUUGGAAUGUUAAGUUAA